rnacentral:rRNA from 1 species
UACGUAGGGUGCAAGCGUUGUCCGGAUUUAUUGGGCGUAAAGAGCUCGUAGGCGGUUUGUCGCGUCGGAUGUGAAAACCCAGGGCUCAACCCUGGGCCUGCAUUCGAUACGGGCAGACUAGAGUAUGGCAGGGGAGACUGGAAUUCCUGGUGUAGCGGUGAAAUGCGCAGAUAUCAGGAGGAACACCGGUGGCGAAGGCGGGUCUCUGGGCCAAAACUGCCGCUGAGGAGCGAAAGCGUGGGUAGCGAACAGG